rnacentral:tRNA from 1 species
GUAGAAACAACUUGUGAGUUUAUUUUGAAAGUUGUAUCGCCGGACUUCGAAUCCGUAGGCCGCCCGUUCGAAUCGGGCCGGGCGUACCA